rnacentral:misc_RNA from 1 species
GCGAAGUGGCCAACGGUCUUAUGUACAUCCUGAGCACCGGCUGCCAAUGGCGGGCGAUCCCGAAAGACCUGCCGCCCCGCUCGACCUUGUACGAUUACUUCGAUCUGUGGAGCUGGGACGGCACGCUUGAUCGCAUUCAUCACGCCCUUUAUGUCGAAUGCCGCGCGAGAGCUGAGCGCGAGGCGUCUCCGACCACGGCCAUCAUUGACAGCCAGAGCGUGAAAAGCGCUGAAAAAGGGGGCCCCGCAUCGACCCGCAUGGCUACGAUGCGGGCAAGAAGAUCAAGGGCAAGAAGCGGCAUAUUCUCGUCGACACGCAGGGCCUCUUGAUGCACGCCAUCGUGCAUGCCGCCGACAUCCAGGAUCGCGAGGGCGGCGUGCUUCUGAUGGCCACGCUGUUCGGCAUCUAUCCCUUCCUUCUGAAGCUCUAUGCCGAUGGCGGAUAUCAGGGCGCCGGCUUUCAAGAGGCGCUGCGUGCCGUUCUGAACCGCAUUAACCUUGAGAUCGUCAAGCGUUCCGAUCAAGCGCGGCGCUUCGUCGUCUUGCCCAAACGCUGGAUCGUCGAGCGGACCUUCGCCUGGCUCGGACGAUGCCGAAGGCUCGCCAAGGAUUGGGAAUGCCUCAAUCGCAAAGCACUCGCCUUCCUCAAGCUCGCCUCCAUCCGUCUCAUGCUGCGAAAACUAUGCAAUCAAAAGUGAUGUUCCCGGACAGACUCUAAAAGAGUAUGGUGGGUGGAUCGGAGCAUUAGCGCUUUUCAUCAUUCUGAUUUUUAGAGAUGCACUAAAAAAGAUGAUCUCUCAGGCUGCCGAUGGAGUCCUUCUGACUUUUCAUCGCCGCCUUUCGCACACGCGCUUCGCGCAACGGCGCGCACUCCGAACGUACCAGACACAAACCCGUGAGACGUACCAGACCCUGAAAAUCCCAUUUCGACCGCGUCAGCCCUUGUAGUUCUGGGUGCGCCCGGUUCCGGUAAGUCAGUGCUGCUCAAACAUUUCAUGCUGGCAUUCGGGCGCGGCUGGCUGGAUCGGAUUUUCGACUUCCCCGUCGCCAUAUUCAUCGAAUUGCGGCGCUUAAACGAUUGCACUCCACAAGAAAUCGAUCUACACGCCCAGGCGCUCAACGCCCUCAAGCGAGGCGGAUUAACUCAUCCUGAACCAUUUCUUAAGAGUGUAAUGGAGCGCCGACGACAACUUAUCCUCUUUUUAGAUGGUUUCGAUGAAGUCGAUACCAACCGGCGAAAUCUGGUGGCGACGCACAUAAGCGAUUAUCUACAGCAGCACUCGUGGUGCCGUGCCGUGAUUACCUGCAGGACGCAGGUUUACGACCAGGAGUUUGUCCAAAUUGCGGACGAGACAUUACAAAUACUCGAUUUUGUAGACACUCAGAUCAGUCAAUUUCUGGAUGCCUGGGAAGACCAGAUGCCGACCGGCAAGUCCGCGGAUCAAUUGCUUGCCACUCUUCAAGAUCGCCCUCGCAUCAUGGCUCUCGCUCGCAAUCCUCUACUUCUCACGAUCAUCGCUUUCUUGUACGCAGACACCGAGGCCAUCUUGCCGCAUUCGAGAUCCACGUUCUAUCGCCAAGCGGUCCUGAUCCUCCUCGCGCAAUGGAAUGUUAUCCGCAAUACUUACGAUUCGGAUGAAAAGGCCGGGGUUCUUAGACAUCUGGCUCUAAUUCAUCAACAACGAUCUGCAGAAGACGCCCGUGAUCGCUUGGCGGUACCAGCAGAUGCUGUUCUUGCUGAAAUUCGAGAGGUCGGACCGAAGCUGAAUUUCCCCGAUGAUUCCGAUGCACGGGCUGUCUUGGCCGAGAUCGUUGAAAGAAGCGGCUUGCUGCUGGCGGUGGAUGGUGGCCAACGCUACCAGUUUUCUCACCUUACUCUCCAGGAGUUUUUCGCCGCCGAGGCUUUAUUGCACGAUCCGGACCGCUUGCUGUCCCUUUACGGACAGGAUCCGGACCGAUGGCGCGAAUGUGUCAAACUCUGGUGCGGUUUGGUCGACGAUUGCA